rnacentral:rRNA from 1 species
UACGGGGGGGAGCAAGCGUUGUUCGGAUUUACUGGGCGUAAAGGGCGGGUAGGCGGCCACCGCAAGUCAGUUGUGAAAUCUCUGGGCUUAACCCAGAAAGGUCAACUGGAUACUGCGGGGCUAGAGUGCAGAAGGGGCAACUGGAAUUCUCGGUGAGCGGUGAAAUGCGUAGAGUAAUCGGGAGGAACACCUGCGCGGAAGGCGGGUUGCGUGGGCUGACACUGACGCUGAACUGCGAAAGCUAGGGGAGCGAACGGG